CGGGACUCAUGCCCUGAGCCACUCUGCUAAUGACUCCUUUUCUCAGGCGCUGAUGGUGAAUCUGGGAUCUGACCGAUUCAUCCGACAGAUGGACGACGAGGACACGUUGUUACCUAGGAAGUUGCAGGCAGCUCUGGAGCAGGCUCUGGAGAGGAAGAAUGAGCUGAUCUCCCAGGACUCUGACAGCGACUCCGACGAUGAAUGUAAUACCCUCAAUGGGCUGGUGUCGGAGGUGUUUAUCCGGUUCUUUGUGGAGACCGUUGGGCACUACUCCCUCUUUCUGACACAGAGUGAGAAGGGAGAGAGGGCCUUUCAGCGAGAGGCCUUCCGCAAAUCUGUGGCCUCCAAAAGCAUCCGCCGCUUUCUUGAGGUUUUUAUGGAGUCUCAGAUGUUUGCUGGCUUCAUCCAAGACAGGGAGCUAAGAAAGUGUCGGGCAAAGGGCCUUUUUGAGCAGCGAGUGGAGCAGUACUUAGAAGAACUCCCAGACACUGAGCAGAGUGGAAUGAAUAAGUUUCUCCGAGGUUUGGGCAACAAAAUGAAGUUUCUCCACAAGAAGAAUUAAGCCCCCUUCUCAGUAGCAGAGUCCAGUGCCUUGCAGAGCCUGAAGCCUGGGGAGAAGGCCCAGCCUGGGACCCUCUGGGCUGCUGUGGCUCCUCUGCCUCCACAGAUCCCAUCCUCCAAGCCAGCCCACCUCUGCCUUCAUCAUAUCCCAGGAUACUGUUUGUAAAUAAUCUGCUGUAAGCUUUCUUAACUGUUUUUGUAACAAGC
rnacentral:sRNA from 1 species